UACGUAGGUGGCGAGCGUUGUCCGGAUUUACUGGGCGUAAAGGGAGCGUAGGCGGACUUUUAAGUGAGAUGUUAAAUACUCGGGCUCAACUUGAGUGCUGCAUUUCAAACUGGAAGUCUAGAGUGCAGGAGAGGAGAAUGGAAUUCCUAGUGUAGCGGUGAAAUGCGUAGAGACUAGGAAGAACACCAGUGGCGAAGGCGAUUCUCUGGACUGUAACUGACGCUGAGGCUCGAAAGCGUGGGGAGCAAACAGG
rnacentral:rRNA from 1 species